GGUCCUAAGCUGAGGCCGACAGGCGUAGGCGAUGGAUAACAGGUUGAUAUUCCUGUACCACCUAUAAUCGUUUUAAUCGAUGGGGGGACGCAGUAGGAUAGGCGAAGCGUGCGAUUGGAUUGCACGUCUAAGCAGUAAGGCUGAGUAUUAGGCAAAUCCGGUACUCGUUAAGGCUGAGCUGUGAUGGGGAGAAGACAUUGUGUCUUCGAGUCGUUGAUUUCACACUGCCGAGAAAAGCCUCUAGAUAGAAAAUAGGUGCCCGUACCGCAAACCGACACAGGUAGUCAAGAUGAGAAUUCUAAGGUGAGCGAGCGAACUCUCGUUAAGGAACUCGGCAAAAUGACCCCGUAACUUCGGGAGAAGGGGUGCUCUUUAGGGUUAACGCCCAGAAGAGCCGCAGUGAAUAGGCCCAAGCGACUGUUUAUCAAAAACACAGGUCUCUGCUAAACCGUAAGGUGAUGUAUAGGGGCUGACGCCUGCCCGGUGCUGGAAGGUUAAGAGGAGUGGUUAGCUUCUGCGAAGCUACGAAUCGAAGCCCCAGUAAACGGCGGCCGUAACUAUAACGGUCCUAAGGUAGCGAAAUUCCUUGUCGGGUAAGUUCCGACCCGCACGAAAGGCGUAACGAUUUGGGCACUGUCUCAACGAGAGACUCGGUGAAAUCAUAGUACCUGUGAAGAUGCAGGUUACCCGCGACAGGACGGAAAGACCCCGUGGAGCUUUACUGUAGCCUGAUAUUGAAAUUCGGCACAGCUUGUACAGGAUAGGUAGGAGCCUUUGAAACGUGAGCGCUAGCUUACGUGGAGGCGCUGGUGGGAUACUACCCUAGCUGUGUUGGCUUUCUAACCCGCACCACUUAUCGUGGUGGGAGACAGUGUCAGGCGGGCAGUUUGACUGGGGCGGUCGCCUCCUAAAAGGUAACGGAGGCGCUCAAAGGUUCCCUCAGAAUGGUUGGAAAUCAUUCAUAGAGUGUAAAGGCAUAAGGGAGCUUGACUGCGAGACCUACAAGUCGAGCAGGGUCGAAAGACGGACUUAGUGAUCCGGUGGUUCCGCAUGGAAGGGCCAUCGCUCAACGGAUAAAAGCUACCCCGGGGAUAACAGGCUUAUCUCCCCCAAGAGUUCACAUCGACGGGGAGGUUUGGCACCUCGAUGUCGGCUCAUCGCAUCCUGGGGCUGUAGUCGGUCCCAAGGGUUGGGCUGUUCGCCCAUUAAAGCGGUACGCGAGCUGGGUUCAGAACGUCGUGAGACAGUUCGGUCCCUAUCCGUCGUGGGCGUAGGAAAUUUGAGAGGAGCUGUCCUUAGUACGAGAGGACCGGGAUGGACAUACCUCUGGUGUACCAGUUGUCGUGCCAACGGCAUAGCUGGGUAGCUAUGUGUGGACGGGAUAAGUGCUGAAAGCAUCUAAGCAUGAAGCCCCCCUCAAGAUGAGAUUUCCCAACUUCGGUUAUAAGAUCCCUCAAAGAUGAUGAGGUUAAUAGGUUCGAGGUGGAAGCAUGGUGACAUGUGGAGCUGACGAAUACUAAUCGAUCGAAGACUUAAUCAA
rnacentral:rRNA from 1 species